rnacentral:tRNA from 2 species
GCCUGGAUAGCUCAGUUGGCAGAGCGCAUUCUUGGUAAGAAUGAGGUCUCGGGUUCGAUUCCCGAUCCAGGCU